rnacentral:rRNA from 1 species
AGCUAGGGGCACGANCCGGAUUAGAUACCCGGGUAGUCCUAGCCGUAAAACGAUACUCGCUAGGUGUCGGCCACGGUGCGACCGUUGUCGGUGCCGUAGGGAAGCCGUGAAGCGAGCCACCUGGGGAAGUACGGCCGCAAGGCUGAAACUUAAAGGAAUUGGCGGGGGAGCACCACAACGGGUGGAGCUUGCGGUUUAAUUGGAUUCAACGCCGGAAAUCUUACCGGGACCGACAGCGAUAUGAAGGCCAGGCUGAAGACUUUGCCGGAUUAGCUGAGAGGUGGUGCAUGGCCGUCGUCAGUUCGUACUGUGAAGCAUCCUGUUAAGUCAGGCAACGAGCGAGACCCACGCCCACAGUUGCCAGCGUACUCUCCGGAGUGACGGGUACACUGUGGGGACCGCCGCUGCUAAAGCGGAGGAAGGAAUGGGCAACGGUAGGUCAGUAUGCCCCGAAUAUCCCGGGCUACACGCGAGCUACAAUGGUUGGUACAAUGGGUAUCUACCCCGAAAGGGGAUGGUAAUCUCCUAAAGCCAAUCUUAGUCCGGAUUGAGGGCUGCAACUCGCCCUCAUGAAGCUGGAAUCCGUAGUAAUCGCGUUUCAACAGAACGCGGUGAAUACGUCCCUGCUCCUUGC